AUUGAACGCUGGCGGCAUGCCUUACACAUGCGAGUCGAACGGCAGCAUGAUCUAGCUUGCUCGAUUGAUGGCGAGUGGCGCACGGGUGAGUAAUACAUCGGAACGUGCCCUGUAGUGGGGGAUAACUAGUCGAAAGAUUAGCUAAUACCGCAUACGACCUGAGGGUGAAAGUGGGGGACCGCAAGGCCUCAUGCUAUAGGAGCGGCCGAUGUCUGAUUAGCUAGUUGGUGAGGUAAAGGCUCACCAAGGCGACGAUCAGUAGCUGGUCUGAGAGGACGAUCAGCCACACUGGGACUGAGACACGGCCCAGACUCCUACGGGAGGCAGCAGUGGGGAAUUUUGGACAAUGGGCGAAAGCCUGAUCCAGCAAUGCCGCGUGUGUGAAGAAGGCCUUCGGGUUGUAAAGCACUUUUGUCCGGAAAGAAAUGGCUCUGGUUAAUACCUGGGGUCGAUGACGGUACCGGAAGAAUAAGGACCGGCUAACUACGUG
rnacentral:rRNA from 1 species